GCCGAAAAAGAAAUUUUUGAUAUCAUGCAUCUAGGUAUUAGUUGUGUUUUCUAGUGCGUUGAUGUUUCGGAAGCCUUAAAAAUCCUCUUUAACAGUAACUGGUAUCAUGCAUCUACCAUCCAUUCACCUUUCUACAUUGUUGGUGAGCAUCAUAUUGUUUUCAUAGCUUCUUUCGUUUAUCAUAUCUCCCAACUUCCACUUUAUUAGUGUGCCAUUUUCCAUAUCUAGAUAGAUAUUGCUCCAAUGGUGAUGUAACUCAAGUUGUCAAAAUCACUUUUAUAUUAAAUUGGUUAUAGCGUCAUACCAACAUAUUUUAUAAAAAGACUUCUUUCAAAAAAAAGUUCAAAUUAUUGGACUUUGAAAUUGCAUCUUCUAUGAACAAAAUAUUCCUCAAAGGUCUUGUUACCCUAAGCUCACAAGGAGAGGAACCUCCCCACCCAAGGCUCAUAUAGUUUACUAUUUUACUGAUUUGAUCGCUUUGUUAUUGGUGAAAUUUAUUGAGUAUGAUGAUGAUGAUGAUUUACUGAUUUGAUCGUUAAAGGGUGUUUCUCGAUACUCCAGUCUCAAAGCAUUAGGUUUCUCUACUUGAUGCGGCUUAAUCCAAGCUUGGAAAUGUUGGAUAUUGUUUGCCAAGUGUACUUGACCCGCUAAAGAUUAUAGCAACAUUUGAAGUCAACUUUUAGUCGUUAAAGCCUCAAAAGCAUUGUCGUAAAUGAACAUGGUUUGAUCUACACAACUUAGCACCCGUAUAAUACAUGAUAAUUUGCCUUUUAUAUAUAGUCUGAAAAAUAUAUUUUCUUCAGAUCAUAAAUGAAACUAAAAAUACCAGAUAUCGUCUGAUAAUACAACCAAUUUCUAAAACUUUUAAGAAAUACGUUUAUCUAUAUGAUUAAAUAUUUUUUAGAAAAACAUUUAUUUAUCGGAUUAAAUAUAAAUGAAUAAAGUGUGUGGGUAUAGGUUAGAUAUGGAAUUGGGAGGCUAGAAAGAAGAUAAGAAACUAACAUAGGAAGAGAAGAGGAAUUGAUUCAAUGCAUGGCCACAUGAAGUGAUAAGGAAAAUGGUGGGUAUAUUCCUUCGUAUUUGUUUUUUUUUUUUUUCCUUUUAUUUUAAAGUGAUAAGGAAAAUGGUGGGUAUAUGCCUUCGUAUUUGUUUUUUUUCUUUUAUUUUAAAGUGAUAAGGAAAAUGGUGGGUAUAUGCCUUCGUAUUUGUUUUUUUUUUUCUUUUAUUUUAAUUUUAAAAACAAAAAGAAUAUGUUUUUAAAAUUUGAUAAUACUAGAAUUACGACCCGCCGCAAUGCGGCGGGGAUUCUUUAGUUAUAACUAAAUCGAUUUAUGAUGCGCACGUUAUGUUGAACCUGUCAAACGGGAAAAAAUAAACGAAACGUAAAAACGUUAAACUAAAGACGCACGUUGCGAUGUGUUAAGUCACAAAAUUUAGAACGAAGCAUAAAGCGAAAAAUUUGCGGAAAACAAAAGCUAUAAAGGACCAAAGCUGAAAGUAAAAAAAAGUUGUGAGGAUAGAUU
rnacentral:lncRNA from 1 species